rnacentral:SRP_RNA from 2 species
GCUGGGCAUGGUGGCGCGUGCCUGUAAUCCCAGCUACUCGGGAGGCUGAGACAGGAGAAUAGCUUGAACCCAGGAGGCAGAGGUUGCAGUGAGUUGAGAUUGUGCCACUGCACUUCAGCCUGGGUGACAGAGCAAGACUCCAUCUCCA